rnacentral:rRNA from 1 species
UACGGAGGAUCCAAGCGUUAUCCGGAUUUAUUGGGUUUAAAGGGUGCGUAGGCGGCCUGUUAAGUCAGGGGUGGAAAGACGGUAGCUCAACUAUCGCAGUGCCCUUGAUACUGAUGGGCUUGAAUGGACUAGAGGUAGGCGGAAUGAGACAAGUAGCGGUGAAAUGCAUAGAUAUGUCUCAGAACACCGAUUGCGAAGGCAGCUUACUAUGGUCUUAUUGACGCUGAGGCACGAAAGCGUGGGGAUCAAACAGG